rnacentral:rRNA from 1 species
CGGAAGAGGAAGGGACGGCUAACUCUGUGCCAGCAGCCGCGGUAAUACAGAGGUCCCGAGCGUUGUUCGGAUUCACUGGGCGUAAAGGGUGCGUAGGUGGCCGGGUAAGUCUGAUGUGAAAUCUCGGAGCUCAACUCCGAAACGGCAUUGGAUACUAUCCGGCUGGAGGGUCGGAAGGGGGACUGGAAUUCUCGGUGUAGCAGUGAAAUGCGUAGAUAUCGAGAGGAACACCAGUGGCGAAGGCGAGUCCCUGGACGACUCCUGACACUGAGGCACGAAAGCUAGGGGAGCAAACAGGAUUAGAUACCCUGGUAG